CUCAUGUCUUCCAUGCAGCUUUGGUUCUGUGAUGGUGCAGAGCUAGGCUGGUAGCAGAAAGUCUGGGGAUCUCCAGAACACUUGAGUUCGCUGCUAGCAUGAAUGUUGCCAAAAAGCAACUUCUUAUUGAUGGGGAUAUUAAGAGAAAUAAGAUCGUGGCACUGCAGGAUGUUAUUGUCAAGUGUCUUAUUGUGGAGGUCAGCAACACAUGAAUACAGCUGGAGAAGAGGAAAAACUUACAAAAGAGAGAAAAGAGAAAAUUAUUUUUGUAUGCCUGUGAGAUUGAGCUUCAGUUGGUAG
rnacentral:lncRNA from 1 species